rnacentral:rRNA from 1 species
AUCUACGGCCAUGCCACCUUGAAUGUGCCCAAUCUUGUCUGAUCUUGGAAGCUAAGCAGGGUAGGGCCUGGUUAGUACUUGGAUGGGAGACCACCUAGGAAGACCAGGUGCUAUAGCCA